GACGAACGCUGGCGGCGUGCUUAACACAUGCAAGUCGAACGGAAAGGCCCUGCUUUUGUGGGGUGCUCGAGUGGCGAACGGGUGAGUAACACGUGAGUAACCUGCCCUUGACUUUGGGAUAACUUCAGGAAACUGGGGCUAAUACCGGAUAGGAGCUCCUGCUGCAUGGUGGGGGUUGGAAAGUUUCGGCGGUUGGGGAUGGACUCGCGGCUUAUCAGCUUGUUGGUGGGGUAGUGGCUUACCAAGGCUUUGACGGGUAGCCGGCCUGAGAGGGUGACCGGCCACAUUGGGACUGCGAUACGGCCCAGACUCCUACGGGACGCAGCAGUGGGGAACAUUGCACAAUGGGCGGAAGCCUGAUGCAGCAACGCCGCGUGCGGGAUGACGGCCUUCGGGUUGUAAACCGCUUUCGCCUGUGACGAAGCGUGAGUGACGGUAAUGGGUAAAGAAGCACCGGCUAACUACGUG
rnacentral:rRNA from 1 species